rnacentral:rRNA from 1 species
CCUACGGGAGGCAGCAGUAGGGAAUAUUGCUCAAUGGGGGAAAGCCUGAAGCAGCAACGCCGCGUGGAGGAUGAAGGUCUUCGGAUCGUAAACUUCUUUUGUCAGAGAAGAUAAUGACGGUAUCUAAUGAACAAUGACUGGCCAACUCCGUCCCAGCAGCCGCGGUCAUACGGAGGGUGCAAGCGUUACUCGGAAUGACUGGGCGGAACGGGCGCGUAGGCGGGAUAGCAAGUCAGAUGUGAAAUCCUAUGGCUUAACCAUAGAACUGCAUUUGAAACUGUUAUUCUGGAGUAUGGGAGAGGUAGGUGGAAUUCUUGGUGUAGGGGUAAAAUCCGUAGAGAUCAGGAGGAAUA